CCUAAACUUCCCAUAGCAAACUGCUCAGUAACACAUGAUCAACUUGCCCUAUGGAGGACAAUAACCUCGGGAAACUGAGGAUAAUAGUCCAUAGUUGAUUAGGCUUGGAAAAGUUUUUCAAUGAAAGGAAUAAGAGAAAUGGUUCUUAUUCGCCAUAGGAUAGGAUCGUGGUCGAUUAUGGUAGUUGGUGAGGUAAAGGCUCACCAAGCCGAUAAUCGAUAGGGGCCGUGAGAGCGGUUGCCCCGAGAUGGGUACUGAGACAACGACCCAGGCCUUACGAGGCGCAGCAGGCGCGAAACCUCAUCACUACACGAAAGUGUGAAUGGGUUACCCAAAGUGUCCUUAUUGGACUGUGGUAGGUGAGUAAUGUCCCCUACUAGAAAGGAGAGGGCAAGGCUGGUGCCAGCCGCCGCGGUAAAACCAGCUCUUCAAGUGGUCGGGAUAAUUAUUGGGCUUAAAGUGUCCGUAGCCGGUAUGGUAAGUUCCUGGUAAAAUCGGGUAGCUUAACUAUCCGUAUGCUAGGGAUACUGCUAUACUAGAGGGCGGGAGAGGUCUGAGGUACUACGGGGGUAGGGGUGAAAUCUUAUAAUCCUCGUAGGACCACCAGUGGCGAAGGCGUCAGACUGGAACGCGCCUGNCGGUGGGGGACGAAAGCCAGGGGAGCGAACCGGAUUAGAUACCCGGGUAGUCCUG
rnacentral:rRNA from 1 species